AGGGGUAUAGUUCAACGGUAGAACAGCGGUCUCCAAAACCGUCGAUGUGGGUUCGAUUCCUGCUACCCCUG
rnacentral:tRNA from 2 species